rnacentral:rRNA from 1 species
GAUGAACGCUGGCGGCGUGCCUAAUACAUGCAAGUCGAGCGAAUGACGAGGAGCUUGCUCCUCUGAUUUAGCGGCGGACGGGUGAGUAACACGUGGGUAACCUGCCUGUAAGACGGGGAUAACUCCGGGAAACCGGAGCUAAUACCGGAUGAUAACGAGAAGCGCCUGCUUCUUUUUUGAAAGUCGGUUUCGGCUGACGCUUACAGAUGGGCCCGCGGCGCAUUAGCUAGUUGGUGAGGUAACGGCUCACCAAGGCGACGAUGCGUAGCCGACCUGAGAGGGUGAUCGGCCACACUGGGACUGAGACACGGCCCAGACUCCUACGGGAGGCAGCAGUAGGGAAUCUUCGGCAAUGGACGAAAGUCUGACCGAGCAACGCCGCGUGAGCGAUGAAGGCCUUCGGGUCGUAAAGCUCUGUUGUCAGAGAAGAACAAGUACCGGAGUAACUGCCGGUACCUUGACGGUACCUGACCAGAAAGCCACGGCUAACUACGUGCCAGCCGCCGCCGUAUAC